GACGAACGCUGGCGGCGUGCCUAAUACAUGCAAGUCGAACGCAGUGGGGACGGGUGAGUAACACGUGGGUAACCUCCCAUCAGAGGGGAUAACACUUGGAAACAGGUGCUAAACCGAUACUGAUGGAUGGACCCGCGGUGCAUGAGCUAGUUGGUGAGGUAACGGCUCACAAAGGCCACGAUGCAUAGGCGAACUGGGAGGGUGAUCGGCCACACUGUGACGGAGACACGGCCCAGACUCCUUGGGGAGGCAGCAGUAGGGAACUGUCGGCAAUGGACGAAAGUCUGACCGAGCAACGCCGCGUGAGUGAAGAAGUUUUUCGGAUCGUAAAACUCUGUUGUUAGAGAAGCGGUAUCUAACCAGAAAGCCACGGCUAACUACGUGCCAGCCGCCGCGGUAAUUA
rnacentral:rRNA from 1 species